rnacentral:piRNA from 1 species
UAGCUUUGCUGAGGUNUCGGGGUGUG